AAUAGCCUAACGGCUGAACCAGCAACUUGGAAGAAUGUAUAGCUAAGCUAAAUGUUUUUUUUUUACAUUUUUUGUAAGAAACAUAUUCGAUUUACUCGUAUAAAGUUCUAGGUAGAAUUAUGAUAAUGACAUUAUCUAUCUAUAAGUCUUGACCAACAUGCGUGCCAGCAGUCGCGGCAAGACGCUAAAGACUAGUGUUAUUCAUUUUAAUAGGUUUAAAGGGUACCUAGACGGUAAAUUAAGCCUUAAUCGGUACUAAUUUAACUAGAGUUAAAUGUAAGGGUGCAUUAACGUACUAUUGAGUGUAGAGAUGAAAUUCUGUCAUACCAGAUUAUUGGCACGGGUUUAGGCGAAAGCAUCACUUUAUGUAAUAACUGACGUUGAGGGACGAAGGCUUUGUAUCGCUAAAAGGAUUAGAUACCCUCGUAGUCUAAGCAGACAAUGAUGAAUGUCAUAGGUUAAAUAUUGUUUAGUCUAUAAAUGAAAGUGUAAGCAUUCCACCUCAAGAGUAAUUUGGCAACAUUGGAAUUGAAAUCAUUAGACCGUUUCUGAAACCAGUAGUGAAGUAUGUUGUUUAAUUAGAUGGUCCACAAAAAACCUUACCACAACUUGAAUAUUUUACAAGCGUUGCACGGCUGUCUUCAGUUAAUGUCGUGAGAUUUUGGUUAGUUCCAUUAAUUAACGUAAACCCUUGCUUUAUUUUUAUAUAAAGUAGUUCGCCGCUAUAUUGGUUAGAUAAAAGGGA
rnacentral:rRNA from 1 species